AUGGGCGGAAGCCUGAUCCAGCCAUGCCGCGUGAAGGAAUAAGGUCCUAUGGGUCGUAAACUUCUUUUGACGCAGAGCAAUAAGGGACACGCGUGUUCCGAUGAGAGUAUGCGUCGAAUAAGCAUCGGCUAACUCCGUGCCAGCAGCCGCGGUAAUACGGAGGAUGCGAGCGUUAUCCGGAUUUAUUGGGUUUAAAGGGUGCGUAGGCUGUUGGAUAAGUCAGCGGUGAAAUCACCACGCUUAACGUGUUGUGUGCCGUUGAAACUGUCCAGCUUGAAUGCGCUCGUCGUGAGAGGAAUGUGUGGUGUAGCGGUGAAAUGCAUAGAUAUCACACAGAACACCGAUUGCGAAGGCAUCUCACGAGGGCGCUAUUGACGCUGAUGCACGAAAGCGCGGGUAUCGAACAGGAUUAGAUACCCUGGUAGUCCGCGCUGUAAACGAUGAUGACUAACCGUUGGUCUGGUAUGGAUCAGUGGUCAAGCGAAAGCGUUAAGUCAUCCACCUGGGGAGUACGGGCGCAAGGCUGAAACUCAAAGGAAUUGACGGGGACCCGCACAAGCAGCGGAGCAUGUGGUUUAAUUCGAGGCAACGCGAAGAACCUUACCUAAACUUGACU
rnacentral:rRNA from 1 species